rnacentral:lncRNA from 1 species
UUUCCAGGGCAGGGCGAUGGAGUCCUGGUAAAUGUAGCCGUCGACGCUGCAGUUGUGGGAGAGGUGAAAUCGUCAGCAAAGCCUCCAGCACUGAACAACCUUUUCCUGUGUAGCCAUAGACCAUAGCCAGUCUCCUCUCCAACAGCCUCACUAUCUCUGAAAGUUGGGUCAAGUAACUCACUAAAUCAGAAUUUCAAAGCAAAACUGCAAAACUUCAAGUAUCAUUUACAAGAAGGAUCUAUGCGAGGCACAAAGCAAAUCUCAAGCAACUGAAACUGACAGUUAAUCAAAAAAGAUGAUUAAGAAAAUAGCUGUAAUCAAAGGAAAUAACUUCUCUAUCAACAAUCAGCAUAGGCCACGACUGCAAGCUCCUGCUGCCUGCACUUCCUUGCCAUGAUGGACUGUACCUUGAAUCCUGUACUAAAAGAAACCUGUUCUUUCAUAAGUUGCUUUCGUCAGAGUAGAAUGCUCACAGCAACAGAAGAGAAACUAGGACAUCUUAUAAAGUUGCACUUCAUGAAUUGCCAGCACCCAAAUCUAACUCAACCCUCCCAAGUAUACAGAGCCAUGUUCUAUCUUGUCCUUGUCAAACACCCCUGUUUUCUCUCAGGUACUUAAAAAGGCUGAUGGCUGACACUUUGG